rnacentral:rRNA from 1 species
UACGAAGGGGGCUAGCGUUGCUCGGAAUCACUGGGCGUAAAGCGCACGUAGGCGGAUUGCUAAGUCAGGGGUGAAAUCCUGGAGCUCAACUCCAGAACUGCCUUUGAUACUGGCGACCUUGAGUCCGGGAGAGGUGAGUGGAACUGCGAGUGUAGAGGUGAAAUUCGUAGAUAUUCGCAAGAACACCAGUGGCGAAGGCGGCUCACUGGCCCGGUACUGACGCUGAGGUGAGAAAGCGUGGGGAGCAAACAGG